CAGUCGCCGCGGUAAUACGAAGGGUGCAAGCGUUACUCGGAAUUACUGGGUGUAAAGCGUGCGUAGGUGGUGGUUUAAGUCCGUUGUGAAAGCCCUGGGCUCAACCUGGGAAUUGCAGUGGAUACUGGGUCACUAGAGUGUGGUAGAGGAUAGUGGAAUUUCCGGUGUAGCAGUGAAAUGCGUAGAGAUCGGAAGGAACAUCUGUGGCGAAGGCGACUAUCUGGGCCAACACUGACACUGAGGCACGAAAGCGUGGGGAGCAAACAGGAUUAGAUACCCGUGUAGUCCCUGUCUCUUAUAC
rnacentral:rRNA from 1 species